GGGGUUUUUACCUUUUUUCCUACGUGUAAAUUAGUUUGGAUAAGACUCAUCAUGAAAAAGAAAUAAAAAUGUGUGGAAUUUCAGCUUUAAGGUUUUCACCCAUAAACACCAUGAGUUCUAAUAAUAAUAGUCCACAAUAUAAAACUGUCUUAAAUUCAGUUAUCCUAUAGAAACGUUGGCCAGUUCCUACCAAAUGGCACCCUAUUUCAUAUGGACCCUGGUAAAUGUAGUUUACAAUAUAGGGAACAGGGUGGCAUUUGGGACCUUACUCAACACAGCAGCAGCACUCUGGCAGCUAGACAAAGCUUAAAUGUGACAUAAACUAUUAUUGUUGUCCAUGAGUUUGAAUUAAAUGUUCUGUCUACUGAGGUAAAUCAAUCUUUGUAAUCAUUCCAUGCCUGAGCCUUAAUCAUGCUGUAGUGGAAGGAAAUAAUUUGCCCUGUCCUAGAGACGAUGGCCCAGACACCAUACCAUGUCUACGAGGAGCAUUCCUUAUCCAAGUCAUUAUUCAGUGAUUGGAGCCAUGUUGUUUAGCCUUUAGUGUUCUGUCACAUUGGUGCGGUCUGAGAGGCCACUUCUGAAAUCGAGACACAGAUGUAUAUCUGAUUGGAAUGGAUAGGUGCAUUUUAAGCAAUGCCUUCAUUCCAUCAAGUCUAUCAAAGGUAAAAUUGCAUUGUAUUGCUUUAACCUGUGAAAUUGUUUGAGAUCUACACUUGUAACUAGGGGUUAGGGUUUUGGUAGCUUUAAAACCCAGGCUUCUUGAGACCAUUUGGAAGGAUGGCCUUGUGCGGUUAAGGUUUUGACCUAAGGGUUGUUUCUGGACAGGGCCUGAUUCUUCUCACUGCUCUUCCAUGUUAGAGAGGUAGCCAUGUUUAAAGAUAGGAGUUGGGGUUGUUAUGAUGACAAAACAUUACAGAUGACCCGGAUGUGAUAGUGGUGAGGUUGUUUUACCUAAUUUUAUGUAAGUAAAUAUUUUGGAUUAAAAAUUGCUGUCGCUUUUGUUUUGUCACUAACUACCACUACAUCGGUAUAAUUCCUUUAUUUUAUCCUGUAUAUAAACAAACAUCAAGCUUUAUUUGAAUUAUCUGUGUUUUUACUUUUUGACCAUUUAUGUUUGU
ensembl:lncRNA